rnacentral:tRNA from 1 species
UAUAAAACCCCAGAAUUGUGGUUUCAGAAAUGUCAUAUAGACCCUCUUUC